AACGAACGCUGGCGGCAUGCCUAACACAUGCAAGUCGAACGAGACCUUCGGGCUUAGUGGCGCACGGGUGCGUAACGCGUGGGAACCUGCCCUUAGAUUCGGAAUAACUCCCCGAAAGGGGUGCUAAUACCGGCGCAUGUCUCCGGACCAACGAUUUAUCGCCUUUGGAUGGGCCCGCGUUGGAUUAGCGAGUUGGUAGGGUAAAAGCCUACCACGGCGACGAUCCAUAGCUGGUCUGAGAGGGUGACCAGCCACACUGGGACUGAGACACGCACCAGACUCCUACGGGAGGCGGGAGUGGGGAAUAUUGGACAAUGGGGGAAAGCCUGAUCCAGCAAUGCGGCGUGAGUGAUGAAGGCCUUGGGGUUGUAAAGCGCUUGUAACCGGGAUGAUAAUGAGAGGACCGGGAGAGUAAGCUCCGGCGAACUCCGUG
rnacentral:rRNA from 1 species